AGCGCCAAAUUGUGGAUGUCGGA
rnacentral:siRNA from 1 species